ACAUGCAAGUCGAACGGAUUUUAUUUGUGCUUGCACAAAUAAAGUUAGUGGCAAACGGGUGAGUAAUACAUGGGAAUUUACCUCGUAGUACGGAAUAACUAUUGGAAACAGUAGCUAAUACCGUAUAUUGCCGAGAGGUGAAAGAUUUAUCGCUACGAGAUGAGCCCAUGCAAGAUUAGCUAGUUGGUAAGGUAAUGGCUUACCAAGGCUACGAUCUUUAGCUGGUUUGAGAGAAUGACCAGCCACACUGGAACUUAGACACGGUCCAGACUCC
rnacentral:rRNA from 1 species